GUUUCAUAUUUAAACUCUCUGCGUUAGAAUCUUUUUCGAAGUCUUACGAAUGUUACAGUUGAAUCUAACUAGAACCAGAGAAAAAUCGGCGAAUUCUCUCCCCUUCGAUCCAAGGAAUUGAGAACAGAAGAAAACGAGAGUUCGUCAAAACGAAGAGGAGCGUGAAAAGGGAGCCCGCGAGACAAACCAAUGGUGGAAAAAAGAGCGAUCGAACGUGGAAAGGCCAAGACGGAGUCAGGGGUUCGGAGCACGUACACUCUGCAUAUUUAACGCAAUCAGAAUGCAUUGGACCAAGAAUAUCGUGGAAGGAGACGCAAUUUUUCUAGGCACAAACAAACGACCCCGGCGAACUGGACAAACUACGGGAGCGUGCAAUACGAGAAGAAUGGUUCCUGCGACCGAGUAUUCCUUCAGAAAUUUCUGCUACGGUCCAUUCUUUCAUCCUGACCGAUAUACACGAACAAAUUAACCCUAACCCUGGGGGCUUCUACCAAAACGAGUAAAGCAACGUAGCUAAUGCUCGGGAUGCAAAACGACCUGUACGAGCUGCACAACGGAAGGAGGGGUAAUUCGAACGGCUGCGAACGAGACGACGACGUGCAUGCAGUUCGCAUACACGAAGCGUGUUGCGCGCAUCUGUAGCGCAUGCAGAAUCGUAGACGCCAGAAAGUGGCCUGGGUACACGGAAGCCAUUCUCGACAGAUGCACCAGUCGUAGAGCUGCAAUUUUCAUGCGACUGGCGCACACGCGGCUCGAUGAGCGACCGAGAAACAAGACGUCAACUUGCAACUUAACCCUGAGUCGGCCUCGAGUCACCCGACGGCCCGUAGCACUUCUAUCAUUCGAUGCUAACGCGAUAGGAAACGUGCAGAAUUUUAUCAGAGUCGCUGAUAACCGAUAGAAACACCUUGCAACAAUUUAUUCAUGGUUCGAUGAUCGGUUACGUAGCUAACAUUUUUAUUAUUCGGGAGUUUAGAUUUUUUUACUUCGAUUUUGUCCAACGAGUGAGGGAUGGAAAUCUGUUUAUCUCUUGUUACGUUCCUCUGAAUUUUGAAUCGCAUUUAUAUCGAACUAUGAAUACUAACAUUCAUACAUUAACGUAACAUAACAUAACAUUCAUAGUCAAGGCCUUUCAAGGUCAAGUAGUAGUUCUCUGGUAGUUGGAUAUUUCCUAAAUUCUUAUCUUAAUUACACCUCCAUCUACAGAGAAAUGAUGAACAAUGUAUCCAAAUUACAUCACCAAAAAUAAACCAGUACAAUAACCAAUUUAUUUUUCUUAAUAAUUAUUCUGGCGAAGAAGAACGGAGGAAUGGAAAUUAUUAUCGCUGGUCGAAUUAUUAUUCGCACUGCUAGGAAAGCAGAUCCAGAAACAGAGGAUUAUCAGAGACCCUCGAUCGGUCCCUGCUCCCUUAAGAAUUGGGUUAACCCCUCGAAUCGCGAAGUAAAUAUCGCCCCGCUUGAACUACUUUGCAUUGCUUUCAAAGCAGAGGAAACGGGAUCAAUAAUGGUAAUCAAAUUUUAUGUAACUUUUAAAGGGGACGCUGCGCCCUCUGACUCGCGCAAAAACGCAUUCAACGAUAGGAAUUGCAGAAUUUAAUUGGAGGUGAGGCGAGCGGAGUCCUGCGACUAUUAUAAAACGGGAUGUAAAAAUAGAGAACGUAAUUGGGGUGAUUGAACGGACUGUAACUACAGGAAAGUCCGGCUCAGAAGGUGGAUUCAACGUAAAUUCCGAUACCGAACAUUGCAAAUUCAAGACAUCAGUGAGAAAAAUAAAAUACAAGUAUGAAAAAAGUAAAACAUCCUAAAUUUCAGCCUCGAGUUUCAGUUGCUCCGAAAAAAGUCCAAUAAUAACCACCUUUCUGCAAUUUCAAUUUUCUUUGAUCCAAGCAUGGUCAAACGAGAAACCGACACGUUCGAAUUAUUUAUAAUUUGGGCUGAUUAAGUCAAAGCGGACGAUGAGAUCCGUUCGUUAGAAGGCGCGAGAAGACGGAGGAAUAUAAAAGGGGCGCGCUGACGGAUGAAUGCCCGUAUCUCGCGUCCCGUCGACAGAAUAACACGUUGGAUUAUCAAAAGGCCCGUUAAAAAUCGUUAAUCGUCGACCACGGUUGGAGGUGCUCCAAAUUACGAUAUUCGCGUCAUGACAAUGAGUUAUAUUCGGUGGUUGAUAGUUCGCGGUCGCACGCGUGACCGCGGCGAUGGCUAUUUUUAUACCGUUUCAUCUUACGUUGGACUGCUUGACUCUGUUCCUCGAGUAUCGCAAGCCUAAUCGAUCCAAUCACUGAGAUUCAUCAACCUUCAAAAGAAAACAUAAAAAAAAAACCCUGAUUCGAGUAAACCAUUGCAAACUAUCCCAUCACAUUCUCGACCGAAUAACAUUCGAGAACUACUCAAAGUUAAUCAUCAGGAGUGCCAUUAAAACGCUCGAAUAUUAAAUUACCCUGUCCUAGUAUGGAUAGGUUUGUCGUUGGAGCAGAAACGACACACCAACCAGAAAUACGGGGAGCGUCGCGCGUCGUUUCGACGUGGACGUCGAAAAAGAUGCGCCGAAGGAGCCUGACGAUUUGGGAGGGGGAAAGAAAAACAUACGCGGAGGGCGCCACGCAAUAAGGGUCGCCGACCCCGAAGUGCCUGCCACCUGUACAUCCUGAACCAAUUCCCCUUUUCGGCAGCAAUGUGGGUCAGCACGCCUCCUCGGCUAAAAAAGGCAUGCCAUGCCGGUGGGUAUCGGCGAACACCAGACAAUGCACGCUUCGACGCGUGCACUCGUACAAAAUGAAAAUACACCCGAGGGUCGACCAUUGUGCGUGCACGCCACCGACGAAAGGGAGCACAGAAACUGCCAACCUGUUUCGCAGGUUCGCCAACCGGAAAUGCAUUAUCCAAAGAAAGUCCAGUACCUGUGAAACUCGCUGAAUAUGUCAGAGCUUCGUAGGUCAUACCCCUAAAUUUCUUGUACGUUUCUUUUGAUAUCAAAAUGAUCGUUAUCUACAAUCGUAAUACCCAUUAGAAUUCGAAAUUCGUGACUUUUGGGACCUACUGUGGUCCCCCUCUAGCUAGAGUACCUGGGGGUUGCUAAACCCGUACUGCAGCUGCAAUCAAACGCAGCUACAGCCCCUGAGGGCGAUAAAGAUUGUGUGCAUUCAAGUAGAGUGCAAGAAAAUGUUUCAUUCGUUCCUCGAGAGGUUAAUAAAUUUGGUCUGCAUGGGAGAAGUCUCGACGACGUGUUCAGGAUGUUCUUGAAAUAGUGUCAAUCGUGAAAGGUCCGAGAGGAUCUAUAAAUAGAUUAACGGAAUUAACGGCACCGUGAGAUGUUGGGUCUAUUUGUAGAAUCAUGUAAAACUCCGUAUUUACAAACAGAUGAAUACUAGGGACCGGGUAACCUUCAGCCCUCAACAAUACGUCAACGUGACGCAAUUCCUGAGAUACCAAAGCAAACCAGCCCUAAUCUUCCCAAACUCACCACCCCUAAAAACUUCAAAAACCAACAUAAUUUUGAACCGCAACAAUAUUUUCCUCCCUCUCGAAUAAAAGAAAGAAAAAAGGUCAGCUCGAUUCGGAGCGCUCGAGAAGCAACGGUCGGCGCCAAUGCUCGCAUCCCCACGGGACACGUAUUUACAUGGAACACGCAUUAGCGCACGUAUGUACGUACGUAGCCGCGAGAGCCGGUCAGCUGUUCGAACGACGGACGUCCAGACGCGAAAUCCUCGAGUGCGGCGUGCCGCGUCCUCGAGACAAUUCCGUUCCUCGACCUCGUGGAAACGGGGCUAACCGCGCGAGACGCACGGCUCUGCAGACAAGAAGAUGGCGGGGGAGGCGGGGUUGAUGGGCAAAACGCGAAUUAGGUUAGGUUGCACGCGCGGAGGGAGGGAGGGAGGGAGGGAGGGAGACAUAAACCGUGAAGCUGUUCGAGCGGCCCGUGUCCGCCUCGAGUGAAAUUCCACGAACCGUUUCUCAAAUUUCAGAAACGUCACAGAGACUUGUACAUACGCGGUAGAAUUAGGGUGGAAAAGCGUGGUUCGGAGUGUCAGUGAGAAUGCCUGGCAGGUCGAUAGCAAUGGCGCCGCGAAGCUACGAAGAAAAUCAAUCCUGUACGACACGCGACGUGUUUUGACGCGCCUGCUUCUUUCUGGCGUGGAUUUUCAUUGCAUAGAGGUACGAUGGAUCCCCGCGAUUAGGAUCGUCGAGGGGGCUAUCGGUGUAUUUGAAACGAGGAAGGGUUAAGCCUGAUUCCUACCGACACUCGGAGGACGCUCGAACGACGCUCACGCCAAAUUCGCGACACGGCGUCUUCCCUGGUUCGAAUGCCUCGAAAACAAUGUCGGGAUACUUUUCGAUACAGCCUCCGAGUGGUUCUCCGAGGAAGGUGGAAAAGGAGCUUGCGACAGGGGGGAGGGGAGGGGAAAGAAACCCGAGGAGAAAUAGAGGAUCGGAGUGCUGACGUACCGACCGAGGUGGCCGGAAAAGAUGAGGCCGCAGGGCCACGCACACGCACACACAAGUUAAGAUCGCGGCGUACACCGUCGCACGACGGCACACCAUAAACCCAAGGUGCGCAUACGGUGCACUCACUGACGGAGUCGAGGUCGGAAAUUUAAAGGUCUAGGAAAAUGUUUGUA